rnacentral:sRNA from 1 species
CCUGAAAUAAGAGUUUGUUGCAUUUGUCCUUGUG